GUGCUUUGGUUUCUCUUCAUAUCGUAUAAAUUUUUUGCCUUUUACUAAAGAUUUCCGUGGAGAGGAAUAGUUACGAGUUUAUAAUCAAUGUUUUGAGGCCCUGCUUUGGUGGGGCU